CCUGGACAAGGUUUACUUGUUCCAUGGGGUUUCCAAUGACUUGCUUUUCCAGCUGGUUUCAGAGAUGAAAGCUGAGUAUUUUCCUCCCAAUGAAGAUGUGAUUUUGCAGAAUGAAGCUCCAACAGACUUCUAUAUACUUGUCACUGGUGCUGCGGAUCUACUUGUGUACAAAAGUGGAGUUGAACAGGUUGUUGGGCAAAUAAAAAGUGGUGAUCUUUGCGGUGAGAUUGGGGUGCUUUGUUAUAGGCCACAGCUUUUUACUGUGCGCACCAAAAGAUUGAGCCAGCUACUACGACUGAACCGUACUACAUUCUUGAACAUUGUUCAGGCCAAUGUUGGAGAUGGGACCAUAAUCAUGAAUAAUCUCCUUCAGCAUUUGAAAGAACAAAAGAACCCAAUUAUGGAGGGAGUUUUGCUUGAGACAGAGAACAUGCUAGCUCGAGGUAGAAUGGACCUACCACUCAGUCUAUGUUUUGCUGCACUUAGGGGAGAUGAUUCCUUGUUACAUCAGUUGUUGAAAAGGGGGCUGGAUCCAAAUGAAUCAGAUAGCAAUGGGAGGUCGGCUCUGCAUAUAGCAGCCUCAAAAGGAAGUGAGAACUGUGUGCUUCUUUUACUAGAUUACGGGGCAGAUCCUAAUUGUAAAGACUCAGAUGGAAAUGUUCCUUUAUGGGAGGCAAUGCUGGGUGGUCAUGAAGCAGUGACCAGACUGCUGAUACAAAAUGGUGCAAACAUAAAUGCUGGAGAUGUAGGUCAUUUUGCUUGCACUGCCGCUGAGCAAAAUAGUUUGAAAUUGCUGAAGGAAAUUGUCGAUUAUGGCGGGGAUGUCACAUGCUCCAGGAAGAGUGGAACGACCGCCCUCCAUGCUGCAGUUUGUGAAGGCAACACUGAAAUAGUCAGGUUUCUCUUAGACCAUGGUGCAGAUACUGACAAACCAGAUAUUCAUGGCUGGACUCCGAGGGAUCUAGCUGACCAACAAGGACAUGAAGAAAUAAAAUUCAUUUUCCAAACUUGUAAAGAGCCUAAAACUCAGUCUGUUGUUGCAAUUCCUGGGGAGAAGGAGCCUGGAAUUAGAUAUCUUGGCAGGUUUACAAGUGAGCCAACUAUACGUCCCGUGUCUCAUGAUGGCUCAUUCUCAGGUACAGAUGGAUCAUGGGGCCAUAAUCGUCCCAGACGCAGAACUAAUAAUUUUCACAACUCGCUCUUUGGGAUGAUGUCUGCUGCCCACAAGGGGGAGCAAGAAUUGCCAUUCCCAGUUAGCCAUCCUAUAGCUGCAGAAAACUAUGGAGCUAACCCUGCAAGAGUAAUAAUUAGUUGCCCAGAAAAGGUAGAAAUUGCAGGGAAGCUUGUUCUACUCCCCAAGAGCUUGGAGGAGUUAUCGGAGAUUGGUGCUAAGAAAUUUGGGCUGACAAAUGCCAAAGUUCUGAGCAAGGAAAGAGCUGAAAUUGAUGAUAUUGAGGUAAUUAGAGAUGG
rnacentral:misc_RNA from 1 species